GACGAACGCUGGCGGCGUGCCUAAUACAUGCAAGUAGAACGCUGAAGAGCGGAGCUUACUCUUCUUGGAUGAGUUGCGCACGGGUGAGUAACGCGUAGGUAAUCUGCUUUGCAGUGGGGGAUAAUUAUUGGAAACGAUAGCUAAUACCGCAUAACAUUCGAUGACACAUGUCAUUUAUUUGAAAGGGGCAAUUGCUCUACUACAAGAUGGACCUGCGUUGUAUUAGCUAGUAGGUGAGGUAGUGGCUCACCUAGGCGGGGGUACAUAGCCGACCUGAGAGGGAGGGCGGGCAGACUGGGACGGAGACACGGCCCAGACUGCUACGGGAGGCAGCAGGAGGGAAGCAUCGUGGAAGGAGGGGAGCAUGACCGAGCAAGGGCGGAUGAGUGAAGAAGGUUGGCGGAUCGUAGGGCUAUGUUGUACGGCAAGAAAGGGGGUGAGGGUGGUGAGUUCGCGCGGUGACGGUAGCUGGGCAGAAAGGGACGGCUAACUACGUG
rnacentral:rRNA from 1 species